UCCUGGGAAAGCUCAGUUGGUAGAGCAUGAGUCUCUUAAUAUCAGAGUCAUGAGUUGGAGCCCCACGCUGGGCA